CAGGAAACUGCAUCUACCUACAUUACUGCAGAAGGUGAGAGAGGCAAUACUCCUUGAACUCUCUGUCACUAUUAAGUAGAAGAAGGGGCAGGAUCAUCCAUCCAUUUGGGAAGCCUGCUGUGUUUGGUAAUGAGAACUUAAACUGCAGAGGUGGGAGACCGGGCUAUGCUGAUGAUGCAACUUGAAUCAUUUUCUUCCUCUCAGUUGCUCUUGCUUCACUGAGAAUGGGCAAAAGCAGAGUUACCCAACUCUGGAUGAAAGGGUUAGUUUCAUUCUUG
rnacentral:lncRNA from 1 species